CCGCACCCAGCGCUGGGCAGGCCGCCGGCCCGGCGAGCCCCGCGGUCAUUGUGCUGAGGGAGACGAUGGCAGCUGUCAAGGCGCAGCUCGCCCCGCCGCGGCCCGGCCGCCGGCCGGGUCAGUAGCCCCGCGCCGCGGCAGCGCCCGCCCGCCCUUCCCCGGCCCUCCUCCGGGCCCCGCCACGCCAGUACGGGCGAGCGGCCUGCGGAGCAGGGGCUGCCUCGGGAGCCAGCAGCCCAGGCGGGCGCCAUGCUAAAAACCAAAAUGGCUGCCCCAGGGAAAGGAGCCCAGCUCAGGCCGUGAGGGGCUGCGCCUCCGACGGCCCCGCCGGCCGGCGACGCCGCUUCGCCCGAUAGACCUCGCCCCAGAGACCCACUUAUGCUAGUUCAGAAGCCCGGGGCACGGUGGACAAGGCGUGUGCACCACUGCAGCAGCAUUGGCCACAUUGACCAACGUCCAUGAUUCUUCUGUUGGAGUGAAUCAACAAAAGUGCGUUCCUCUUCUGGAUGUAAAGAAGACUUCUCUGUGUCUGGCAGAGAAAUACUGUUGAUUCCUGCACCCCGUAUUCAAAUCUACUGCUGAGAUCAACAAAAAAAAAAUGAUAAAAUUUUUUCUUAUGGUAAACAAACAAGGCCAAACAAGGCUCUCUAGGUAUUACGAGCAUGUAGAAAUUAAUAAACGGACAAUGCUGGAAGCUGAAGUAAUCAAAAACUGUCUCUCUCGUUCAAAGGAUCAGUGCUCUUUCAUUGAGUAUAAGGACUUUAAGCUGGUCUACCGGCAGUAUGCAGCCCUUUUCGUAGUCGUUGGAAUCAACGAGACAGAGAAUGAGAUGGCAGUAUAUGAACUAAUUCAUAAUUUUGUGGAAGUUUUGGACAAAUACUUCAGCAGAGUGAGUGAAUUAGAUGUAUCCUUUUCACUAUCAGAAGUCCAUUUGUCUCUCUCUUUUUGGUGUAUGUUCCAGUUCAUACUGUCUUCAUAACACCGACUGUCAAACAGUCAAGACAAUGCAGAGAUUUCACAAAUUUUGCACCUACAGUAAGUAGCACCUUUCUGAAAGUAUGGCCCAUGUUCACAAGGGUCACCUAUUUAAAUCCUCAGUCAUUAAGAUAAACCUAGUACCCUUUAAAGUAAGACAGGGAGAGCCUGCUUACAGAGAACUAAGUACCAUUAACAUCUAGACAUGAAAAGUUAUAUUCAUGGGGGAACUUUCAGAGUUAACUAAUUAUUAGUUCCGGAUUUUACUUUUUUCUUUACGUUUACAAUAAAAUAGAUAUUGAAAUAACUGCAGCGAUAAGAACUGAAUGUUACAGCUGCGUCUUGAGCCAAAUAGCGGUAGCGUCAUUGUAAGAUUAGGUUUGCGCUUUGACCUUGCUUAAUGAAAGUCUAGGUGAGUUCUACUUUCUGUAUCAAUGGAAAAAGAGAAAGGCCUGGGAGGACAAAAUUCAGGAAACUAGGCAUUGCCACAGGUACCUUUUUCUUUUCCUGCCCCUCCCUUACACAGCUGUAUUUUCAUGUGUAAGAUGUGCAGGGUAUUAACUAAAACAUAAUUUAAAAAAUGAACUAAAUCCAAAUACAAACAAUUAAGCACAAAUAGCAAGUAAAUAAAAUACAAUAUUGAAUUAAAAGCAAACUAAACCAGGAGAAUGUAGCACAGUCUUCCUCCUCAGUUCUUCCAGUCCCACUGCCUGCUCACUCUACUCCAGCAAUCCUUAUGCCUAUGGUUGUUGUUGGUUAAAUGUUGAUCUACUGGUAGAAAGAAUUUCAAUUAUACACCCUGAAAUACAGUUGCCACCCUGGAAUCAAAUGCUGUAAUUUAGUUUAUUUACCUUAUUUAACAUAUGAAGAACAUAGACCUAUUAUGUGAUUUUUCUUGUAAUUGUUCUUACUUCUUUGCUGACAAAAAAGAAAAAACACAAAAGGAAAUAAUUAAUUUCACUUUUAUAAAUAUUUCAAUGCUUGCUAUAUGCUGGAACUCUGUCUCAUUUACUGAACUUAAUUUUAUAUGUGUGCAUAUGUAUGUGUAUAUAUACUGUCUGUACUGCCUUCCUGAAGUUCACAAAAUGCGUAGCAUUAACCUAACACUCCUAAAUUCACUUACAGAAGAGCAAUAAUGAAAUUUCAGCAUGAAGGGACUCUUAAGGUCUCUGAGUGAUUGCAUGACUAUAUUUUUUGUAUUCAGUUGUUAUAGUUAAGGUUUAGAACUAUGUGCCCCUGUGUAUGAACUUCGCUGAAUUAGGGACUAACCUGACCUAUUCAGUAAUUAUACAUAAAAAUAGUCCCCUAUGUUCCCAUAUGGUGUACUUUGAGCCUGCAAUUGCCUGAUUCUCUUUAUCUUAGAUCAUUUGGAGUACUGAUGAGUCUAAAUUCUGCCUGCCUUUGAUCAUCCUUUUCAUACCGAGAGGAACUUCCUGUAGUUACACGCUUACAGUUACCACCAGGAGCCCAUUUAAUAGCUGAGACAGGCCGCUGCAUACCCAGCAAGCUUCUGCAUACACCGUUUAGAGACGUUGUUGCACUACAUGCCAACACUGACAUCUGCAACAGGUGCAAUACGGUGUCUGAAUGAGUCCUGUAGAAAUUCAUCUUCUACACGGGUCUCAUCUGCGUGAGGGUGUGAACACAAAUAUUUGGAAAAUAGGAGAGUGCAUUACUAUCUUAUUUGAUAAUACUGGAAAUAAUAUUGGAAAAGCUCAUGUCUGAUAUAUCUCUUCUCAGCGUGUGUGACAUAUGAAUGAUGUACAUAAUUUUUCCAUUCAGAAAUGCACUUUUCUACAUUAUACAUUUCAGGAAAAUUUUUAAAAUAAAACAUUUGGCUUCUAUAUAUGUACAAAAUAAUUCUCCCAUUUAGGAGAAAGAGCUUUUCCUAAGUUGAGAGGAUAUGUAAAGUAGUUGAAAUGCAGUGAGAGACCCUCAGCAUUAAAUGUAAAGCAGAGGUGUAACGAUGAAGAAGUGGGCUGUUCAGGAUUGUAUUUAUUUUUGACAAGAGCUUGAAUAGCUGGCCCAGAAGAACAAUAUAAGAUCUGGACUACGAGUGUCUUGGACAGAUGUUAAUGCAGUGCAAGCAAUAAUCCAUCAAUAUGCCUUUCAUAGUGUGUAAAAUAAUAUCCCCACCUGGGAUUAAACCAUUUCCUUUGCCAAAUAGUCUUAAGCUAACUCUUAUAUUCAGUACAGCUAGCUUGGAUGCAAAAUAUCUGAUGGAGGAAGUGCUGUCUGAAGGUCUAACAGCAAACACCAAGUAGUAUUUACAGAAUCUUUGUAUACAGAAUAUCUGGUGGGAGACUGUCACGAUUUCCUGUCUCUGUGCAAUUAUUUUUGUGUACGGAUCCAUAGGAAGUUUAUUUCAAAAGUGAUAGUGGCUAUUCUACAUGGAAAGUAGUGUUUACUAACGUGGAAAAAAUAGUAGGAAAUUACAUGAAACCAAAAAACAUGAAAAAUAGAUCAUAAUCAUGGAAGGCUAUUCACUCAGGCACAGAGCAAACCCCUGUUAAGUCUAAAGGCUGAGAUCGUCGUGCAGUUGAACUGAUCCUGGAGCCCACGCUAAGCUGGCAGCACGCGUACUCGUUCUUAAAGCUCCCCCAGCCGCAGUGCGGGACCCCAGUAUUCCUGCCAUCGCAGCUCCUGCUAACGCAGGACUGCAGCCUUUAUUUAGGUCCAAACACCCCAAUUCAGCCAGGGCACCGGCAUCCGGCAUCCUGGCUUGCAUCACAGCCUGAGCCUGGAGUCAGCUGUCGGGGGGGCACCUUGGGCACCAGGCAGAGACUGGCUCCCUUCUGAAUCCUGCCCAACAGGAUUCAUAUGUAAUGGGUAUAUGUACGUGUGGCAUAGGUGUGUGUGACACCAAACACUGCAGGAACAAGUGCAAAGUUAUCUCAUGCAUACUGCAAAAAUGAACACUGAUUAGCUACUGGCCAGCUGAGUAACUUUAACUCUAGAGUAGCCACGGUUUUUACAGAAGCUUUUAGGUGUGAAUUGUUAUACGAUGUCCGUUACACGAUGUCCACUUUCAUUCCGAGAGUCAGACGCAUACUAUGCCAGAAUGCCAUAACAUUUCUAAAGUUGUUUGGUUUGCUUUUAAAAUAUCUGUAAGUCACGUUGUGAAUGAACGAGUACUGAAAUUGUCCUAGGGGUGCUGCUUCCGAACAUGUUAAUAGCACUACUUGAGCCUCACUUCUCUGUAUGAAAUAAGCGGGUGGGAUUUUCUGUAGCUCUAAAACUCCAGCUUGGGUGGUGUAGGAGCUACUUUCCUGGUGUGAUGGUGACAAAGGGGACUAUAAAAAUGCAAGUGUUACCAGAGCAACUUUGUAGGGAACGGUAUGCUGGUAAGCAUGGGAGUUUCUAAAAUUACAAAAAGUUGACUUUUCUACUGCUUGAACUGGUGAAGCAAAGCUCACUUGAAGACAUGUUAUUAACUUAGGGAAGAAACAGAUACUUACGUUCCUCUUGUGGGAGGGGAGGGGGAAGACAGGGUGCUCUAGGACCAAGCAUUUGAAGAAUGUUGUCUUGCUCCAAAAAAAACAUUACAUUCCAUUGCAACUAGCUGCUGCUGCUCCUAGGAUAGAUAAAAAGCUGUGAUACAGGGAAUGCUUCAUGUGAAUCAACUGUAUUCUUUAGUCCCCUGUGGAAUAACACUUUCAGAAUACAGUGCAUUUAAGUAGUACGGAAAUUGAAUGAUGAAUUUAUUCUGGGAGUUUAUAAGGAUAUACUUCAAUUUGUACUUUAAAAUAAGUGGGUAAAAUGGAAACCUCUAAGGAUUAGCUUAAAACUGUUGAAUAUCACAGAACUUGAAGGCACCAUUUGUCUCCUCUUUAAUGUCAGCAUAGUCAUUCGAGGAAGAAGUGGUCAGGAAGCAUUAAAUGCAUUUCAGUGCCUAAAAUUUGCCUGCCAUUAGAUAGGCUAAAUGUUACUUAAAGCAAAUGUUAGCAAAGAUAAAAUCGGAAUGUGCGACUCUAGCUUAAAAAAAGAAGCGACUCCAACUAAUCUGUAGUUGAAGAUGAAUGUCCAGGAUGGCAAUCAAAGUUUUGUAAUGCUGUAUAUUCAGUAGCAAAUCAUCUGCCCCAUAAGUACCCAUGCUGUAAUCUACAAAGCUUUUGUUUGUGCUCCUGGGUGUGUUACCUGAUCACAAGGUGUUGGCUGCACUUUAUCAUCUUUUAAGCCUGUACACACCCAUAAUUACUUGCCUGGAAAAUCCUGAGAUAUCUUAAAACGUCUCUAUAUGAAGAUGUUAUUAAUCACAUGCAAGUCCUAAACGUGCCUUUUUCCUUUCCUCCCCCAUCUCCUGCUUAACUAUCCGCCUCUGUAAUGUUUUGGGGAAGGAGACACAAGACUGCAUCGUAUUUACCUCCGGUAUGUGCCAUAAAACCUCUUCGUGAUAGUAGAAAGUACCAUUAAUGUCUUUAAUAAGGACAGCCCUUAAAUUUACUGAACACCAGUGUAACAUUUAAAUACCAAUUGUAGUAGGUGCCAUUUACUUCUCCUGCUAGGCACGCAGCCACAACAGCAUGGGCUGGAAUCUGUAAACCCAAGACAGCAAGGGCUCACCUUUUGCCUCGGCUGACAGCUUGGUGAGAGUAUUUCCUAGCUGGGUGCUCUGAAUACUUUUGUCACGGACUUUUAUCUACAGAUGCAGAGAUUAACACGUGUUUUCAUCUACAAUACUUGUUUAAAAGUUCCUGUUAGCCUCUGCACGGAUCUAGUGAAAGUCCCUUAAUGGGCAGCCCAGAUUCUUACUGGAAGGAGGACCUUGAAUGACAGCUCUGGGUGGAGCACAUGGCAGCGCACACACCGGCUAUAGCUUUUUCCUGUUCCGAGUUGCUCAAACUGGUUUGCUUUCCUGCUUUUCAUCUGGGCGUGGAUUUAUGACUUCAGGGCUUUAAACCCUGAAACUUGGGGUCACUUGCCAAACAAGUGACAGGUGGGGAGGAUGAGCCUUGCUGAGGCUGAGACAUACGUAUCCCUCCCUGGGCCGGGCAUUCAGACGGGAACGGCUAAGCGGUGCACGUGUGAUGAGAUUAACUGUAGAGCACAGUCAUGAGGAGUCAGAGGAAGGGGAGAAAAGCCAAGGUUGCUCCCCGUGCAGUCUGAACAUCUGCCAAGAACAUCACGGUGAAGGGAGGUGGGAAGGGAACUGAAAAAGGAAGCCAGGCUGUUAGGUUGAGGGUAGAGGGUAAGGAAUGCCUUGGGACCUUCCAAAAACCAAGGUGCUAGAUCUUUCCAGAAUGAUAUUAGUAUCCCCUUUCAAACUGCAGGUGAAAUCAUUGGUUCUGGAAUGAUGACCGAGAGAUUAACGGGUUACAGAUGGACAGAAACCACACCACCGUUUUCUGUGAUUUUGAAAUAACCUGGAAUGGCCCUGCAGGGGAACUGAUGUCUCUUUUAACCAUAUUGGGUUUGAGUGGAGCAGCUCCAAGAUCCUUGUUGGUGUGGCUGCCGUUUUCCUGUGACGUGGUAUCAGCUCUUCAGGAAAUGCAGCAGGGGAAAAAGCAGUGCUAAGUGCAUUUAAAUGUUUUCUUAAACAAGGUGAUGCAGAAGAAUAAGGUGGGAGUGACAAGUUGCUGCAUCAUCACUGAUCCUGGUUGAUCCAGUCUUCUGGGUUUUACAUCCUUGGGACUCUCAAAGGAAGAGGAAGGCCUGGCCAGGCAGGAGCUCUCGCUCUGCUGUGGGAACUGGAGCGCUAUGAAUCAGCGGUAGAGCGUAAAAAUUAGAAGCCAGGAAGAGUUGGCUUUAUCACUUGUUGAAACCUGAAUGGAAUGUUAUCUAACUUCAUUAACAGAUCCCCUUGCCCUACGUAGAGCAGCGCCAGAGGUGAACUAAGCAGCAGUAGAAGAGCUGUCUUCCUAAAAAUACUUACAUUACUGGAAUAAAGAAAUCCUAACUUCUUAGAUUAAAAGAUUUCUGCAAAGGCUGAUUUACUUGAAAAGUAUGCUGCAGGAAGAAAUUUGUCUCAAGUCUUUAAUCUGCCAAGCAAAGUAAACCAGCUACCUUUUGUCUCUGGAACCGCUUUUGUAGUUUUAAGGACAGUACUGCUCCUCGGUACAGAAAGGCACGAGACUGACUUUUAGAAGCAAUUCAGGCCUCUGGUCAGACUCAGGAAGAAGUCCGGUAUUUAAAAUUAGGUGGUUAAAUUUAGACCAGAAAUUAGAAGUUACCUGAUGAACCACAGACAUGCCCAAGAUCCUGCUGAGAGCUAUAGUUUCUCUUCCUCACAUAACAGUAACUAGUAGUAGUUAUCUGGGAGCCUGAAUUCUGCUGCUACACGUAGCUAGACACGCGGUGCUCCUCGUCAAGCAGGACGCAUUUGUUGGAGCAGCGAUACAAUUAAUUGCUUACGCUCCGGCACAAAUAAACAGCAGUGCUGAGUUCGGCCCAGGGCACUCACAGCAAUUUGAAACGUCAGGGGAAGGUGACAGCCCGCUUAGCUGUAUUCUCGUCAGCUUGAACACACGGCUUCAUCCUACAAUUCAGCCCGGGCGACUUCAAGCUUCUACUUCAUCUGUUCGAAGGGAGGUCAGAGGCAAGGCUCUGCGCCCUCUUCUUGCUUUAACGUGUGCAGCAGCAGCAGUCACCAAGACAGGGACAAAAACUUCAGCUUCUCUCAUGGCUGGGCUGACCGUCAUACUCAAGAACUUUUACAGAGAGCAGGAGAACUUUUAAGUCGAAGGCAGGAGGUGCAGCUGCUCCCAACUCAGCUGGGCUUGCCCACGGAGCAAGGCAGUUUGGCUGAGGAGAGGCUCAGGUUUCAGGCAGGCGAUGUUUCUACUGUGACAUUUUAAAAGAAGAGACUGAGCCAGUCAUCGUUAUCUGAAGUAAUGACUUGGGCUUCUGAAUCCGAGAGAAAGGAUCACGGAAAAAUCCCCCUCUGCAUUCCUAAGUACUGGCUUCAGCCCUGGUUCUCUAGAACCUUCGAAUCGUUGGAUGAGUCUGGCUUUCACCGCUCAUUGCAGGGAAAAUAAGGCACCUAACUCAGAUUAAGGCAUUCCCUUCUCAAAGCCAGGUGCUAAAAAAACAAGGGAUGUUCAGUGUUACUUAACUAAAAUCCAUAUCUUGAAUUCAGACCUAAGAUGGUUCACUGUCAUGAGCUCACGUCCUUGCAGCUCUGGUGGUUUAAGGUGGGUCUCCCCACCACUUGCAUUUAUCAUUUAGGAUGAGAAAUAUAUACAAAUAUGUGGCUCCCCUGCUGCGGUCGGAUACAGUUCCGUACUCCCACUGUUCCUGCUCUUUGGCAGAGCAGUGGGGCAGACUGCUGGAGCUAGAUCCACUGGAACUCCUCAGACAGAGCAGUCCUCUUCAAUGUCUGACCAUGUCAAAAAAAAAAAAAAAAAAAAAAAAGAGACUUAGGCUUUAUCACACUGAGCAGAGGCAAACGUUAAUGCACCUCAAAAACCUGGCACUUGCAUCUCCGCUGAUUAGAAGGGAAGUCCACCAACAUAAAUACAAGGACUACAGCAAAACCAGACCAGCUUCCUGAGCUCAAACCAUAGCGUCAAAAAUAGCGUAAGGGGCAGAGAAGGCCCUCGGGAGACUUGUGUCAAAGUAGGGAAAAAGGUGUUGAAAGAUGUAUUUAGAAGUUCCUGUGAAGUAUCUUGCCAGCUCCGCUGCAGGAGUUCUCAAUACACAGGCAAGAACUAGAAGGAGCAAAGUGAAUGCAAAGCUGAUCUCACAGCGAAGACGACAUUUAAAGAGCAGCAACAGGUGGAGAGGAAGGCCGAGGCGGGGUUAUUCACCCUCUGCCCACGCCUAUGCAUGUCACUUGGGCCUAACAGAUGCAGCCAGCAGGCUUUUUGGCCGUGCCUAUUUCCAUUUCAGGUUCUGGUGAUAAAUGGCAACGUAAGAGUCUUUUUUCACUAAGGGACCCUUGGCAGUUGUUCCGCGGGUACCCAGGCCACUGCUGCGUGCAGAAGAAUGCCCACCGCUUAAUACCACGGUUGUUAUCGCUUGGUAACAUUUUAUAUUCAGACAGUACAUGGUACUCGGGCAGACAAUAAAAUUAACCACCCACAUCCAAGUUCACCUUGCUUUUACUACUGUGGGGUCAUCUUCCAGGACGGGACACUGCCGGGGCUUCAGCUUCUCUACUACAAACCUUUGACAUCUCUGUGGUCAGGAAAAACGCGUCAGUUAAACUGUUUCCCUGCCCCUAUUAAAAUAAACAGGCAAAUAAACUGGAGUUAGUUAAGAAAUACCUAUUUUUGUAAGCUUCCAUUAAAGACUAAAGGCGCUUAAGAUUUUCUCUGAAUUAUCUUCACGUUGUUCAAAAUAUACUUAACUUGAAGCGUUUCUAGAUCAUGUUCAAUUUGGACAGAGUGCACAUCAUUCUGGAUGAAAUGGUGCUAAAUGGGUGCAUCGUGGAAACAAACAGGAACCGAAUUCUUGCCCCUCUGUACGUGCUUGACAAAGUGGCAGAAAGCUAGGAAGAU